rnacentral:pre_miRNA from 1 species
AAGUGGAGGCCUGGAUCGCACUGCUCCUGAAUGCCAAGUGAGAUUCUCACCUCCAUUUCA